rnacentral:lncRNA from 1 species
CUUAAAACUAUUCUUAAGAAUCUUAACUUUAUUAUUUGAUCUGGCUUAUUUCAAAGUAAUUAACUUUUUUGUUAACAAUUUCUUGUAGUCCCACAAGUGUAAAUUUGAAAUCAAUCUAAAAAAAUAGAAGAGCUACAUUUUUUUUAUGAUGUUUAUUAUUAGGCAAAAUAAAUUUGUCGCUGCCUUCUGGCAGGAAAACAAAUAUAGGGGCAAGUAGGUAGAUAGAAUCGUUUUUUUUUUUGUUAAAUGUUUUACUGACUAUACAGACUAUAAAUUAUAUUGGGCCCUUUAUGACUAAAAUUGACAGUAAGUUUGACUAAAAUGUUCAUGAUUUAACUAGUUAGUAUUUUUUGUGUACGGAAACAGAUUUGUUUUGUUGUGGCUUAUUGAAAUUUAAAGUUGUCUCUCGUAUGAAAUUGAAAGAAAUUUCUUUUUAGGAUUAUAAAUUAAAUAUUUCUCAUUAACAGAUCCAAACUUCAUUAAAAUAAACAUCUUAAUAUCAGUUAAAUUAAUAAAUGGCUAUCCUAUUCAAAUCACUGCAUAAGAAUUUAAAAUUUUAAAAUCACUGAUCGUUUAAUGAACUAUUGCAAGUGACCUGCUCUGCCAUGAACAAAUAUCAUAGUAUCUAUAUAUACUUUUGUAAUUUAAAGUCAAAAGUUUUUAAGACAUAUAAGUAGCACCCGAAAGAAUAUAUUCAUGACAAUUCUAUAAAUCUGUUAUCCAUUCUUUUAAGUUUGACAUUAUAACAGUGAAACAUCUAAAAAAAAAAAGGCUCACAUUUUCUUUAUUCUUCAACUUUGAUUCUACCUUACAUUAUCUGAUUAAUCUAUCUUCUGUUAUGUCUUCAAUUUUACAUUUAAUGAAUUAAUUUAUGUUAGGAC